CCUACGGGAGGCAGCCGUGGGGAAUAUUGGGCACUGGGCGCAAGCCUGACCCAGCAACGCCGCGUGAAGGAAGAAGGCUUUCGGGUUGUAAACUUCUUUUCUUGGGGACGAAGAAAGUGACGGUACCAAAGGAAUAAGCCACGGCUAACUACGUGCCAGCAGCCGCGGUAAUACGUAGGUGGAAAGCGUUAUACGGAUUUUUUGGGUGUAAAGGGCGUGUAGGCGGGAUUGCAAGUCAGAUGUGAAAACCACGGGCUCAACCUGUGGCCUGCAUUUGAAACUGUAGUUCUUGAGUGCUGGAGAGGCGAGCGGAAUUCCGUGUGUAGCGGUGAAAUGCGUAGAGAUACGGAGGAACACCAGUGGCGAAGGCGGAUUGCUGGACAGUAACUGACGCUGAGGCGCGAAAGCGUGGGGAGCAAACAGGAUUAGAUACCCGGGUAGUC
rnacentral:rRNA from 1 species